rnacentral:misc_RNA from 1 species
GGUCUCUCAAGCGCAAGCUUGGUGUUGGGGCUCGCCGCGAAAGCGGUGGCCCUCGAAAUCAUCGGCGGUGCCGUGCGGCCUGGAACGCAGCAGAAGAUGCUUUCCAUCCGUAUCGACGCCCGCCGGAUCAAACGUCCUCGCGGACACUUUUUAUCACAAA